GUCCGUUAUUAGUCACACUAUGUCUCUUCAAUAAAUCUGUUUUGGGUUUAUGACUUUCUUGUGAUGAUCACGUUCCAUAGAAUGCCUUAAAAUUAGAGUAACGUUAUGUGUCUGUUUUACAGACGAUUGAGCCGACAGUGAGUCUUUGGUUGCCUCAUGCUAUAUUUAGACGUCAAUACUUCAGCAGCACAUUCACUCUAUCAACUGUCUGACAUGGGGAUUGUGUGUAUUCACUGCAACGCAUGACGGCUAAUUCCAAACGCAGUUACGCGAUUUAUUCUGAAGACAAGACAUGGAGUAGGAUCUUGACCAGAAUUUAGACUGCAGUUACAGAACACGGAAUCCCAGGGCCCGUGGUUCCCUUCGCUGUACAUACGGUUCUGCAGAGAGGAGCUUCCCUAGCAUGCGACAGAACAUUCUAAAUUUAAAAAAAUGUCUCAACGUUCUGAUACAAUGUAGCUACGCUCUGUAUCGGGACAUUGAAGAUAUAACAGUAUCAAUAUAAACUACAGUUUUAACUUGCCCGUCCAGUAAGUCCAUGUAUCUUAUGUUGUCUUCAACGUAAUCCAGUUGGACAAGAAAUAUCCAGCCUUAAAAGAUGCGCAAACUUCUUGACGCAUGUCAAGUCGCGUAAUCAAAAUGAUGGCAAACAGCGGUUUAGUCCAGUAGGACAAGCGCUGAUAUCGUGGACUAAAUUAAUUCGUGAACAGACACAAAAGUUUGUAAGUUGACAGUAGCCUGUAAUUCUCAGACACUACCAACAUAAUUCCAAAAUGGCUUCCCAGACGUAACAAAGCCAAAGGGAUAGCUGCUGAGGUUGUUCCUCCCACUCCCAGGCUCGGAAUUGUCAAUCAUGAAGCUUACUUUGAAUCUAUUGGAGGAUAGCAGGGACGCUGUGUCCCACCCUUCAAAUAGCACUUCAGCUGCACCGUUAAGAAGAAGUGUAAUAGAGAGACAAAAACUAGAGAAAAAGAUUACGCGACACCAAAGGAAGACUGCAGAGAAACUGUGAAUGUUCGUGCUGAACCAACUUAGACGAAAAGCACAUACAGAGCUAAGGGAUAGAAAGAAUGAUGUGGAUUUGCGUCAUUGUGAUUUCCGCUAUGUGUUCAUCUCAUCUCUCCUCUGGACAAGUACAUGGAGUUGACCAAUGUAAGUUAAGUGAGAGGCCGUGACUAUUUAGUUAGUUUUACAUUGUCUGAUGGAUAUGAUGUGUUAGGCUAAUGUAUGACUUUGGAGGUAUCGUUACAUACUGAAUUAUGGUGAAUUGGCCUUUUUUUUUAUUGUAGCCACGUAUUGUGAAAGCUGCAUAGAAACGGCCAA
rnacentral:lncRNA from 1 species